AACAGCAGUCUUUGUCAAAGGUCAAAACAUGACCAUCCUGUGCUAAACACGAAACAGAAAUCAAAUUCCUGCUAGCAGCAGGGACAUAAUAACAGUCUCUAAGCAAUAAACUAAAUCCAGACGAUAAUCGCAGAGGGUAGGUGCCCACAGCUACAGCAGCAACUCUUGCCCCGUUGCCAACCCGAAGGGUCACUGCACCUUCCGCCAGCCUC
rnacentral:lncRNA from 1 species